AGCCCCUAAACUAAAUUUUAAAAUAACUUGUUGUUUUCUGAGUUAAACACUGAAAUGUUUAUAGAUGGAAUGAUACUGGGUAUUUAAGAAAUAACCCCACAUUGUGGACUGAAGAGAGGGAAGCAAGUGGAAUUUUAGAUUAAAUAAGAAUUCCUUAGCCGACGAAGUCGUGGCCACUAGAUGCUAACUACGUGUGAGUUCAUUUCAUUCUUCGCUCUACUUUUGUAUAUACUUCAUUUUCAUAAUAAGUUGACCAUUUCACAGAAUUUAAAGCUAUUACUCUACUGGUUUCAGCAUUUUAUGUGAAUAUUACAGGUUGGGAAUGUCUACCACUUGAGGAGGCAGAAAAUACAGAUUUGCCCAAACCUAGUCUCAUGCCUACAAGCUAGACUGAGGGAACAUAAACUCCUAUGGACACUUUCAAGGCAAGUGGUUCUCUACAUUGUAGCCCUUUGGCUCUACUAAAUUAUUUAGUCAGCCCUAAGAUUAGGAUUGGAAAAGAAUCUACAUAGAAGCUAAGGAUCUGAAAGUAUCAGCAUCAGUAAAGGAAACUUGAACCCUUGGAAUGUCUUUGUGUACCCUCUGGUGUGUUUAUGCCCAACCUUGUGUGAAGACCACAGCUCCAUGCCACACUGUUGACUUGGCAGUCCAGUUAAAACGAAUCAACAGGUCCUCUUUCCUCUGGGGUUCCAGGAGGCAGCAGAGGAAGAGGUAUGAAGGACAGAACAAAUUUGUGCUCCUUAGCCACCACGUGGAGCGAGCUACCCUUUAACUGAACCAGGAACAUUCAUCUCAGGGGUUGGUCGAGUGAAAGAUACUGGUCUUGAGCCAUUAUAUAUUUAGGAUCUUUAAAAAAAAAUACUGCUUUAUGGUAAGUAAUACACUUGUCUUUAGAAGCUUUGAUACAUAUUGUUAAACUACAUCACUCAAAGUCUAAGCAGUGAGGGUAUCCCUGCUGCUCUCUUUAAAAAAAAUUUUUUUUAUUUGAAUGUAGUUGACAUACAAUGUUAUAUUAGUUUCAGCUGUAUAACAUAGUGAUUUGAUGAGUUUAUAAAUUAAGCUGUGCUCAUCCAAAGUGUAGCUGCUGUCACCAUGCAACACUAUUACAGUAUCAUUGACUGUAUUCCUUAGGCUGUGCCUUUUAUUCCCGUGACUUACUCAUUCCAUAAAUGGAAGCCUCUAUCUCCCACUCUCUUUCACCCAUUUUGCCCACCUCGCACCCCUUCCCAGCAACCAUUCAUUUGCUCUCUGUAUUUACAGGUCUGAUUCUGCUUUUUGUUUGUUUGAGGGUUUUUGUUUCUUUUAGAUUGCACCUAUGAUUUCUAACCAAGAUUAUACUCAAACGUUUACAGUCAAUUUUAAUAUUUACUAGAAAAGGUCUGGUAAUACUUUCUAGAGAUUCUCCUACAUUUAUCCUUCUACAUGACCAUUAUAAUCAUGUUGCCAAUUUUCCUAUAAAGGUUUAAAGGAGAUGGUUAAGGCUGCAACUGAUGUAAAAUUAGUAAUUUUAGCAUUCUUUCAUCAUUGAAACGUACAUAUAUUCUAAUUAUUUAUUGUUAUGUUGCUGUUAUAAACUGUUUUGUAAUGUAUAGAUUUGCAAAGUUAAGUUAUUUUCUCACAUGAAUUUCUUGGAAAUAUGGGAAUUCAGAUCACUAGUAGCAAUAAAUCUACAAUUGUUCUUAAAGAUCAUAGUUUGCCUCUCAUAAAGAAUAUGUACAGACAGUUUCAUCAGAGUAAGCCAGUUUGACCCCAAAGUCAAAUAUCCUGUUUUGAUAUUAGCAUUAGUUUUUUUUUCAACAUAAAGAAAAUAAAAUGUUACCUCUUCAUUUAAUUGCAUUUCUUCUGUAUCAAAAUUAAAGUUUAUAGGCAGAUAUUGAAGUUUAUUGAAGUUUAUAGCUUCUAGGCGGGUUCAAAUUCCUUUAAUGUAAAUUAUUUAUUAUCUUUGUUCACUUAUCUGUUGGGGUCUUGAUUUGAAUAAAUUGUAUGUAUUACAGAUGGAUCAUCCUUGUAGUGAUCUGUACUUAAUUAAGUUUUCUAGGAUUUGUUUUUACUUAAUUCAACAAUCCAUCAGGAAUUAGACUGAUAAACUGUAUGUGAGCUAUGUACCUAAGUUAAGUUUUCCACAAAUUCUAAUUAAUUAUUCUCAUUUAUUAAUUUUCUUGUCUCUGUUAUUUCCAGAUGUUACCUAUGUCGAAUAAAAAAGUUAAAGUUUCUUUCAGACAUUUUCACUAUAUUCUUUUUAUCUUCAUGAAACUUAUUUUUGU